rnacentral:rRNA from 1 species
GAUGAACGCUGGCGGCGUGCUUAACACAUGCAAGUCGAGCGAAGCAGUUAAGUUGAUUUCUUCGGAUAGAUUCUUGGCUGACUGAGCGGCGGACGGGUGAGUAACGCGUGGGUGACCUGCCCCAUACCGGGGGAUAACAGCUGGAAACGGCUGCUAAUACCGCAUAAGCGCACAGAGCUGCAUGGCUCAGUGUGAAAAACUCCGGUGGUAUGGGAUGGGCCCGCGUCUGAUUAGGCAGUUGGCGGGGUAACGGCCCACCAAACCGACGAUCAGUAGCCGGCCUGAGAGGGCGACUGGCCACAUUGGGACUGAGACACGGCCCAAACUCCUACGGGGGGCAGCAGUGGGGAAUAUUGCACAAUGGGGGAAACCCUGAUGCAGCGACGCCGCGUGAGUGAAGAAGUAUUUCGGUAUGUAAAGCUCUAUCAGCAGGGAAGAUAAUGACGGUACCUGACUAAGAAGCCCCGGCUAACUACGUGCCAGCAGCCGCGGUAAUACGUAGGGGGCAAGCGUUAUCCGGAUUUACUGGGUGUAAAGGGAGCGUAGACGGCAAGGCAAGUCUGAUGUGAAAACCCAGGGCUUAACCCUGGGACUGCAUUGGAAACUGUCUGGCUCGAGUGCCGGAGAGGUAAGCGGAAUUCCUAGUGUAGCGGUGAAAUGCGUAGAUAUUAGGAAGAACACCAGUGGCGAAGGCGGCUUACUGGACGGUAACUGACGUUGAGGCUCGAAAGCGUGGGGAGCAAACAGGAUUCGAUACCCUGGUAGUCCACGCCGUAAA